GAUGAACGCUGGCGACAGGCUUAACACAUGCAAGUCGAGGGGAAACGACGGGGAAGCUUGCUUCCCCGGGCGUCGACCGGCGCACGGGUGAGUAACGCGUAUCCAACCUGCCUCUGACUGAGGGAUAACCCGUCGAAAGUCGGCCUAAUACCUCAUGGCAUCGUCUGCGGGCAUCCAACGACGAUUAAAGAUUUCAUCGGUCAGAGAUGGGGAUGCGUCUGAUUAGCUUGUUGGCGGGGUAACGGCCCACCAAGGCGACGAUCAGUAGGGGUUCUGAGAGGAAGGUCCCCCACAUUGGAACUGCGACACGGUCCAAACUCCUACGGGAGGCAGCAGUGAGGAAUAUUGGUCAAUGGGCGAGAGCCUGAACCAGCCAAGUAGCGUGCAGGAUGACGGCCCUAUGGGUUGUAAACUGCUUUUAUGCGGGGAUAAAGUGAGGGACGUGUCCUUCAUUGCAGGUACCGCAUGAAUAAGGACCGGCUAAUUCCGUG
rnacentral:rRNA from 1 species